rnacentral:rRNA from 1 species
CCUACGGGAGGCAGCAGUGGGGCAUAUUGGGCAAUGGAGGCAACUCUGACCCAGCAAUGCCGCGUGAGUGAUGAAGGUAAUUUUAUUGUAAAGCUCUUUUCUUUGGAACGACUAAAUGACGGUACCAAAGGAAUAAGCCCCGGCUAACUACGUGCCAGCAGCCGCGGUAAUACGUGGGGGGCAAGCGUUGUUCGGAAUGACUGGGCGUAAAGGGUGUGUAGGUGGGUUGAUAAGUUAGAUGUGUAAUACCCAGGGCUUAACUCGGGUGCUGCAUCUAAAACUGUUAGAAUUGAGGACUGGAGAGGAAAGUGGAAUGCCUAGUGUAGCGGUGGAAUGCGUAGAGAUUAGGAGGAACAUCGGGGGCGAAGGCGACUAUCUGGACAGCAACUGACACUGAGGCACGAAAGCGUGGGGAGCAAACAGGAUGAGAUACCCGAGUAGUC